UCACAGGCAUCAUCCAAACAAAUCGGAAAGUCUCGAAGAUUUUUCAAUUUUAGUUUAAUUUUCAAGGUAACUUUUCAUUUCUCACACAAAACACACGUAAAAUAGGCAAUAUGAAAGCAGCAAUCAGAAGUAUUUUGAAGGGAGUUGAGAAAGUAACAGACAUUUGCUCGGAUAUAUUGACUUACGAAAUUAGAAAUGGCUUUUCGAUGACAGAUAAUCAUCGCAACAUAAAAGGAUGGUGUCGUGAUUUGCGACGCAACACUAAAAAAAUCAAGGCUGCAAAUCGAAAGUACUUGGAGGAAGUGCUUAAACUAAAGAGAAAUUUGCACGACUCUGUUAUGCAGGAAGAGGUUUACGAAUUUUUUUUGGAUGUAACGCAAAGUUUGAUAUUAUAUGUGAAAAAACUGACAAAAUCUAUCCGCCCUUUCAUUUUGAGUCUACGAGAGGGCAGAAGUUUUUCGAUGUUAGCGGGACGUGCACAACGCAUUGAUCUACUCAAAAGUAUGAAAAUAUUUAAAACGAGCAUCAUGGAAGUGAUGAAAACCUUCUUUAAGAUUAUCGAUCGUACGAGAGAACUUGAAUUAUGUAGUUUAUCGGCAGGCUGUAAACAAAGUAGCAAUGCUCUAUCUUCAUCAAUAGCUGCUGCUUCAUCAACAUUAGCAUCCAAUCAUAUCUUAGAUCAAGUACAACAUAUGUAUUACGAGGAAAACAAUAACUUAUAAUUUCAUUUUACAUUCGCUUGUCAUCAGUCUUAUCAUCUUAAAUUAUUACUUUUUAUUGUAAAAAUAAUUUAAAAUUUUCCAAAGUCAUAUGCGUUCAAAACAAAAUAAUUUUUAAGUUGUAUUUUAAGAUUGAAAGUUUUACAAGCCUUUCGGGUAAAUAAAAUGUCUUUUAGUAAAA